AAACCAUCAAGCUCAGCUUGGUCUUGGAACGUGGUCGAGCGACCCGUCCGUAACCCGUUGGCGGUGCAGUCCGGCUUCAAGCGUAGCAAGAAUUUCGCUUCAGGAGUCCGCGGCGGUGCCCGCCAGGUAAUCACACCCCAAA
rnacentral:misc_RNA from 1 species